UUCCCUUCUCCUCCUCCCGCCACGAAUAAACCCUAAGCCCGGCCCUCUUCCCUUUGACCUCCAUAGCCGAAACCCUCGACGCCUAUCGAUCUCUUGCAUCGAUGGUCCCUUCGUUCUUCGAGCUGCGUGAAAUCCGCGGGGCGCGUGCCGUUUCAUCAUCUUGCUUGGCCGUGGAGCCGCCGCUCCUCGUCCGAUGUAGUUGAAGCCCAAGCGCAGCGCGGUGGCGGAGGCGAGGCCAACGUCGCGGCCGAUGCCCUCUAUCACAGGGCUUCCGCUUAUAUAGAGAUGGGUCAUCUUUAAGUUCAACAGUGAUGCUUCGAGCUGACCUACAGCAAAGUCUCUUUCACUUUCUACCAGAGGCAAAUGAACUUGUAAACCUCCACUGCUUAUUAUUUUCCGGGAGGAGAUACAACCAGAAGCCAUACGAUGCCGACCUGGAAGAGAUCCGUUGAGUUAAAGUUGCAGGCGUAAAUGGAGGCAGCGUUAUUUUUAACUACUUUUCUACUAGGCAAAUGGAAUCAAGUAGAUGAGCUCAGCCAAGGGUGACUGACAAAAUAGGUCUUGACAUGUUGCGGACAGGACCACGAGGGAAUAUUCAUGGCUGUGAUGUACAGUUUUCACAUUUGUCCCACAAAAAGCUGGAAUAGUACUGGGCACAGGGAAGGUUCAGGCUCACGGUGUGACUGGCCAAUGUGGAGCGAAUUAGUCAGUCCCCUGUUCUAUAAAUGUCAUUGUCAGAGUAUGAACGGUAUUAUCCAUCUGAUCAAUAUUAGAUGAGCAGACCGGCAAAAGAUAAACUACGUUGAUUGA